rnacentral:pre_miRNA from 1 species
UUGUUUUAAGAAUGUGACUAUUAGGUAAAGUCGCAUUCUUAAACAAAGCGUUUUAUUUAAGAAUGUGACUUUACCUAAUAGUCGCAUUCUUAAGACAAAGC